UUAAAAUAUUUUACUAGAUUGUAUUUAUGGUUAACAGUAUCUUGCACUACAAUUUAUAUUUAGAUAAUCAUUCAUUUUAAAAUUAUUUAUUGAGCACCUACUAUGUGUUAGGUAUUAGGUACAGAGCAAUGAAUACAGCAAGCACAGUUCCUCACCUCGUGGACCUGACACUGUAGUGUGAGAGAUAAUAAGCAAAUGAUAUAAGGCCAUGCAGUAGUUAAAUGCUAUGAAGAAACAUAAAAUCUGGUACAGGGACAGAGAGUAGGGAGGGAGCUCUUGUUAUAAAGGGUGGCCAGGAAAGACCAAGUUGUGUAGCAGAGGCCUGAAGGAAGCCAGGGACCAAGCCAUAUGAAUUUUCUCAGAUAGGUGUAUUCUAGUUAUAGAGAACAGCAACUGGAACGGUCCUGAGAAGGGAACAUUCCUGGAACAUUCAAGAACUAGCCAAGAGAUCAGCAAGUCUAUAGUAAAAAGAAACAUAGUAGAUAGUCAUCUAGUGUUUUCUUCUCUUCCUUCCUAUUAUCUCUCAUACCAUGUCAUGUUACUUUUCUAAAGGAUCUCAAUGGGGAAGAGAACAUCAUUGUCUUUAAGAUUCAAUUUUUUGUGUAUUGAAAGUCUUCAUGGUCAUUCUUUUGAGAUCAUGACCUACUACAACGUCCCCAGGCCUGCAUCCUCCACAGGCUCCAUGAGCAGAAAAGCAGACGAAUAGAAGAGCAGAGGAACAGAAGAAUAGCAGUGUGGCCGAGCAGCGUGGUAGAGAAAGAGGGAAGAGAAGCAGCAUCUGAAUGUUGAGAGGAGUUUGGCUGGGGACAGUCGGAGAGGAGAUUGGCCGCAGGACGACCCAACUCCAGGGGAGGAACAUCUUCCUACUCCAUUCGCUUCCCCACUCCCCAGCCAUUCCACUGAGAGCCACCUCCAUCUGGCAAUAAAAUCUCUUGCAUUCACUAUCCUUCAAUUUGCCUGUGUGACCUGAUUCUUCCUGGAUGCUGGACAAGAACCCAGCAUCCAGGUACCAAGAGGGCACUGGGCUGGAUAACACUUGAGCUGUCUGUGGACGGCAGAGCUAAAAGAGCACUGUAACAUGCCCACUGGGGCUUUGGGAGUUGCAGGCACCCACCCUGGAUGCUACUACCAUGGGGCUGGAGCCCAAAAGUGUUUGCCCCGCCUCCUGCACCUGCCCGUCUGCAUGCUCCCCCUCCAGUAAGGGGUUUGAGUGCACAGAGGCUGAACAGAUGAGCCACACCCCUGUCACACAUCCUGUGAAGGGGGUUAGGAAACUCUCCCAUUUCAUCUUGACCAUCUUUGAGGGACUAUUGAUGCUUUUGGUAUCAGCAGCCACAGAAUUCAUCAGACACAGCACAAAAGAGCAGGAGAAGAGAUAAUGGCAGAUGCCAGAAGGUUGUCCAGCUGGUUACUACCUCUCCUCUUCACCUGAUUAUACCUGAUUACUGCUGACUCGAUGGGCAGGGAGAGUCGCUGACUCCUGACAGAAAGACUCUGUCACCCCUUGCCAUUUAUUUUAGAUCCUGUGAAUCCUACUGUCAAUGUUGUGACACCUGCAAUGCCUGGGAUGAAGCUGCCCAUGUGGUGAGAUGCAGCCUGUGGAAGCCUCUUUUCAGUGGAGUGAGAGCCAAGCCCCCUUGGCUUUUCAUAGACAAUUGGUGAACGGGACAAGGAGACACUGUCCUUGGAUGUCUGAAAAAAAAAGAAAAAGGUUGCAAAACAUGUUGCCAAUAAGAAUGUUGUAGAUGAAAGGCAGGAUGAAGGAAAGUGGUCUUAAUUUAAAUUCUCUAUUUUACUAAACCUACUCUUUAACAAAUAUGUUUAUGUGAGGCAUCAGAAGCAAAUGUAUUUUGGCUUUUAAGAGAAUUAAAAUUGUUUCCCCUAUUUUUUUAUUUGUUUGCUUUGGUGGCUUUGUGACCAAAAAAAUUGUUUUAAUCCAAAUAGCCACAAUAAAUAAAUAAGCAAAUGAAUAAAAUUCCCAGGUCAUUUGAGAGAAAAGAUUAACUGAAAAGGUAAAGCAUCUCCCCCUUUUUAGUUUCAGUUAAUUAUAGUGUCAGGAUGACUUUUUAACUUACCUGGCAAUCUGGAACCUCAUAGAGUCACUUGCGUUUUCAAAAUUUCCAUGUGAAAACAUGAUUGUGCCAAGUACUCCCUAUUAACUUUUAGACAUCAUCUAUAAAAUCACUACAGGAAAAUAUGGAAAUAUCUGAGAGAUACACAGUGGAUCGCCUCAGAAUAAAUCGUUCCCCAAAUCAUUUUAUGACUGCCUGAGUCGGGACUCAUGGGUCAGAGUAGAGUCAUAGUUAAGGUUUGCAACUGGCUUAGUAGCAAGAGGGGAUAAACAAACUAUCCAGGCUGUUGAACUGUCCAGUUUCGCUACAACUGUAUUUACUUGUUGGGAUCAACUGUUUUCUUUCCUAUUAAGGUAUUAGUAGCCACUGAUAAUGGAAGCCAGGGCCCGCUAGAAAUAGACCAGAGGAAAUUUCCUGACUCACUUGCAUAACAACAGUUCAUCAGCACUGAAGAUAUAUGAAGUGUGACUGCAGAGUAAUGGGAGUGAUUAGGUUUCUCUGCACAACAAAACUCUUACAUACAAAUGAGCACUGUCCCCUUCAGGACAGUCCUCAGGGAACCCGUAUGCUUAUUCCGGUGUGUGAUUGGUCUGGAAGCAUUUUUGGAUGCCCUCUGGACAGAAAGUGCUUUUGGACACUGUUAGUGGUGACAAAGUGUGUCCUUUGAGGAUGGAUUAGAUUGUUGGAAAUGAUACAAUGUAUUCACAGUAUACAUCUGUUGUUUUUGUCUACCCAGAAGCCUCUGUCCAAACUUGUGGUUGGAGAGGCUGUAUUUCUUCUGUCGUUCAUUCUGUCUUUGAAGGCUCUCGAGGAGAAAAUAGCUUUUAAUAUCUCUUGGGAAAUGGCCACAUUUUCCCCUGGCAAUUGAACCCAUGGCUUUCUUGAAUGACUACUCCUCAACCAGGUCUAAGUUGUUUAGGUAGGCUGACUUGACCACCAGUUCCAGAGCACAGACAUGUGACGAGCCUGGCCAUAGUCAUUGAUUCAGGGAUGGACACAUGACUGAAACGGCAUGCUGGCAUUUAGUUCUGGUACUUGGAUUUUAACUGUUGGGAGGAGAAUUUCUCACUCUGCUAUGAUAUAAGCAUGAAGCUACUGGCUUCCACUUGCUGCUACAAAGAGCCUGCUUAAAAAUGGAGCCAACAUAAAAGGAAGCAGAUUUAAGACCUGAGCGAUGAGAGCGUGCACAUGUGUGUAUAUCCACAUAAUGAGACUAAGUCUUGAUUUCUGCACCUUGAUCCAGAUAUACCUGGAGCAGAAACUCUGCUGGGACUCUUUUGUAUCAUGAGCCAGUAACCUCCCUAUUUGCCUAGUAGGUUGAUUUGGGCUUCAAUCUUGCAACCAAGUGAGUCCUGACUAAACCAGCAGAAUGGAGCCAGGUAAGGUUCUUUCUCAAGAAGAGAAGAAGGAAGGUAUCAAGACGUUUAUGACAAAUUUCUACUCAACACUGAGCACCUGCUAAGUGCUGGGCCUAAUAGUCGAGAUGCUGCAAUGAACUAGUCCAUUCAGGAUGCUGAGGUGUUUCAGCCUAGAAGAGACUGCUUUUCUUCCUUUGCUCAUGCAGACUCAGGGGGCCAUUCUCAAGGAGGAGUUAGUGACAGGAAUGUCUUUGGCAAAGACAGCACUCUUGAGUGUGGUCAGAACAUGUUAUUUAUUUCCCAAGAUGAUUAGUUUUUGAAGAAGACAACAAAUAGUUGAGGCUAUGAAUUCUAUCUCUGUAAAAAUAGAGUUAUGUUUUCCUCCUGUAGUCAGAUCUCCUGUGGAACGUGAGUAAACAGGAAUUUCUAUGUAUGGAGCAAGGACAGUAUGGUUAGCACAUAAUACAUGUGUUUAUUUCAGAGCUGGGGAGGACUCCUGACCAGCGUGACACCUAACAUUGGAGUGAAGGGGCAGCAGCCACGUGAAACGAGAUCCAGUUUGGCAUUCUGUCUAAGUUCACUGCACAGAGACGGGUUUGGCUCUGUGAUUCAUCAGAAAUAAGAAAAACAAACACUGUAAAUGGAGAACUUGAAAAAGAGGUGGGCACCAUCUCCCCACCCAAGAGAAUGGAUUUAAGAGGAAAUUUGUUUAUGGGAUGAAGUUUUAAAAGGCGACCUGGAAAAUUUAGCAAAGAUGUAAAUAAACAACUCUUCCUUGGAUUGCAUUAGGCUUCAGAAUAAAUAUAUUAACCAGCUUCAGUCAAAGUCUGCCUAGAAUCUGACCCUGACAAGACCCAGUGACUAGUGCUGCUCCGAACCUUCCCCACCAACAGCAGGCAAUUUUCUCUGUGGCAAAGCUACCUCGAAACAGGCAUCCAGGCUUCCCUCCCACGAAGUGAAGAUGAGAAAACUGAGUCUCAGAAUGGACAAGCUCACAGAUGGCAAGUGGUAGAGCAGACUUCACACAUAGCCAUCUGAGUGAGAUGGGAAGCUGAUCCUCCAGCCCUGAUCAAGCCUUCAAAUGACUGCACCUCCAGCUGACAGAUUACCAAAAGCAACCUCCUUCCAGAAGACCUUGAGCCAAAACCACUCAGCUAAGCUACUUCCAGAUCCCUGAUCCUCGGAAACUGUGCGAGACAAUAAAUGUUUAAAUGGCCACCCACUUUGGAAUAAAGAGGACAUAUAAUUUGCCUAAGGUCACAUAGCACUCUCUAAAUCAGUACAGUAUUUUAGACAAAGCUUCAACUUUGCACUUUUAUGGGUCAUUUUGAUAUAAGACUACAAGGAUAUCUCCUCCCAUGACAAACUUGACUUCAUUUACAACAAAAGGCCAAGCAAGAUACAGUACACUGUGGGGAUAAAUGGUACUCACUGAGGACAGGAAUAUGCUGACAUUAUCUCAAUUUCCUCCUCCCUCCUGUUGUUCUCCUUUGGAUGCUUUCCUGGACUAUAGGGAGAAGGAAAAUAGAGAAAGGCCAACUGCGACUAGGCCAGAGAUCAGAUGUUACCUUGUAGGAAGCAUCUCAUUCUAACCUUAAGUACUCUCUUGAUGAAGUACGGGGCCAAGAGAUUUUGGAAUUCUACCACACAAGGUUGCUCAGCAUUCCAAGAAGUAUUGAUAACUCUUCAAGAGCAAAAGUCAUUUAAAUUAAACUUCUCUGGCCGGGCAUGGUAGCUCAUAUCUGUAAACCCAGCACUUUGGGAGGCUGAGGCUGGAAGAUCACU
rnacentral:lncRNA from 1 species